UCCAUCGGUGGCCUACAGAGCACCCUUUCCAUCUGCAGCAGCUAGAAGGUGUGCAGCCAGGUAAUUCAGCACAAUAGCUCCCGACCACCAUUUGCUUGCUGAUCUAAGGGGGCACCAGUAACUUGUCCCCCAUAUGGCUUUGUGAGGCAGGGCAGGAGAGAGUAAACUGCAUCUGCCAUGAUAAAGCAGGGUCAUGGCAAUACCCUGGAUCACUGCACUGGGGAGCCUGAGCUCAUAUAAUCCUUUUUCCAUCAUCCCAGGCAGUGACAAAUUUCAAAAGACACACAUUGCAAGUGCUGCCUGCCCAACUUGCAUAAAUGCUAGUGAAGCAUCCUUGCUGAUCAACCACGGCUUGGAAGAUCACUGAGGCAAACCCCUUCCUGUUGAAGAAUGACUGGCUCUCCUGGGAUAGGGAUAGGACUGAGAUGUGUGGGCUAUUCAAUGCACCCAUGCAGUUAGGGAACCCCAUGGCCUGGAAGCCUUCAACAACUUCCCUGGGGUUUUGGAGACAGAUGAAGUCAUUUG